rnacentral:lncRNA from 1 species
UUUUUUUUUUUUUCCUUUCUCCUUCUUGAUGUUUGUUUCUGAUUGUGAGAGCUCAGAGGUAAAUUUAUUCCUUGUUUCAGAUCAAAAAGUAAAUUAAAACAAUCCUGAAGACAGGGAACUCAAUUAUUUAAAGGACAGUGAGACAGUGAGUAUGACGUUGCAGAAGGUGGGCUGAACGUAGCUGGAGAGGGGAGCUGAGUGAGGGGUAGACAAGGCAUCUUACAGACACUUGAGCUUGUUGUAGAAGCUCUUUCAGAAUUUGCUCUGACCUUCCCUCUAGUCAGUGCUUUCAGCUCAGAUGCUUAUUUCCAGGGCUUCCAAACCCAGAGAAAUAAGAAAAAGAUCAAGUUUUAAGAAAUUACCUCUUCUAGGAGUUUGCGCUGUGGCUCAGCAGUAACGAACCUGACUAGUAACCAUGGGUUUGGUCCCUGGCCUCACUCAGUGGAUUAAGUAUCCAGCGUUGUCAUGAGCUGUGGUGUAGGUCACAGACAUGGCUCAAAUGCUGUGUGGCUGUGGCUGUGGCAUAUUCCAGCAGCUGAGCUCCAAUUCAACCCUUAGGCUGGGAACUUCUAUACGCCACAGGUAUGGCCCUAAAAAGAAAAAGAAAAAAAAAAAAAAGGAAAUUACCUCUUCUUGUGAUAAAAGGGGAAAAUAACAUAAUCCCCAGAUAUGCUUUCUGUUGCUGAUUGUCAUCUAGCAACCAGCAUUGCCUUCACUGAGUUCACACAACACCCCCCCCCAAAUCUAUCAGAGGUCACAGAACUUUCUUAAAUCAAUAAAGCCUGAUGAGAUAAGUUCUUUGAAAUCACAUCCAGGGAGUAAUAAAAUAGUUUUUGUCUCUAAACCCAAGAUCUUUCAUGGGCUUGGAACACAAGGGUAUUUUUUUUUAGCACCACCUCCUAUCAUAGCUACAAUAUCCUCUUGAUUUUUCUGGAAAUAGCUCAAGAAAUAUGCUGUCCCUGUCACUGCUCCCAGUGUGCUUCCCAGUAGGGAAGACCUUAGAAUUCUGCCAAUUAAAGGUACAUCAAGGAGCAGUAAGACAGGACCCAAAUCUGUAUAUUUUCUCUAAUAAGGUGUCUCUCCAAACAGCUUCCCAAGCUGUUGUGUGGACCUUUUAAGCUACUGCCAGGUGUCUUCUAUGGCCCUUCAAGAGGAACUCUUCCUGCUCCAAAAUUAAAUUGAUCUUCUUAUAGGACAGGACAGGAGGCAAGCACAGGUUUGAUUAUCAAAGGAUUUGACAAGCAUAGGUCCUGUCUUUAUUCUCAGCUCUUCUACGUUAAAGCCAGCUCCACAAUUUUGGUCUUCAGGUGGCAGAGAUGGAGAGACUCUAUUAAACUGCAAAAUAUGUCCACUUUAAAUGUAGCAGAAACAUCUGAAUUUUGUAGCUGUGAUCACUUGGUUUCUUUAUCGUUCAGGAAGGAAGCAUUUUCCCUUUCUCCUUACAUCAGCACACAUUUUCUUUGCUUUUGCAUUUGAACUCUAAGAGUGCUGGCCUUUUUAAAAAUUUAAUAAUUGUGCAUUAUUUUAAAUUUUAUUCUCCUGUAGCUCACCAGGAUCUUCUACCUCAGACAAAGUAAGACCUCAUGGCAGAAGAAGGAGCAAAUGAGACAACUGAUGAGUCCAAAUGAAGAACCACUUUAGGAAUAUGAUGUAUUUUAUAUGCAUAAAUUUUAUAUAGUUUUUCUUCUUUGUAAUGCUAGCUUUACUGAUGGCCUGAUCUACAGACACUUAUAUAAGUCUCCCAUAUACAAAUCAAAGAAUCCCCACCAUCUGUGUGCAAAGAGAGCUCCAUGGAGCAGGUUGUUGGCAAUGUCACCAGGCCAGGGACUCAGCAUCAUAUGAAAAUUUCCUACCAAAAGCGCUCGCAAGUCACUCUAGAAGCCAUAAAAAGUCAGAGUUUAUUUAACCAUGCUAGCUUUGUAUACUGUUUCUAAAUUGCAUUACUUAGGGGUUAUAUUCACUACAAUGUGUCAAAUCUAUGCUCUCUUGCCAAAUUUGUGCACCUCCAGAGGCAAAAUUCAUAAACGACUUUAAUGUUUAUAAAUGACUUUUUUCUUUUUACAAAAAAAAAUAAAAUAAUCAUAAAAAUCAGCAUAGUUACGAGUUCCCUGCUGGUCUAGUGGCUAGGACUCAGUGCUUUCACUGCUACAGCCCAGGGUUCAAUCCCUGGUCUGGGGAACUGAGUUAGGAGUUUGAUAAUUCUGGCUUAGCAUUUAUAUUGUCUUAGGCUAAAUUCACACAUGCACAUAUCCUGAACAACCUUGACACUGAACAUGGGCACAGGAGAGGCAAAGAUGCACUGUCAGAAGGCUCUCUAGCUUACAUUCACAGCACAACUGGGCUCUUUUAAAUCUCAGGAAUCUCCUUAAGUGUUGUCUACCAUUGAUCAGGCAGCCCUUGUGAGUCCCAGAAAUCCUUUCCUCCCCAAAUUCAUUAGUUGCCAUGCUGUGGCCUCCUCCAAGAGCUUAUCCUUAUUUGGGAGGAUAUAACAUUCCUCUGAGUUGAUUCUAUCCCUUGUCUGUCAAGAUAAGUAUUUACCAGAGUGUCUUCCUGGAAAUGCAAGUUCUAUGGGAUGUUCAUAGCUACUCAUACAAUAUGGCCAGGGGAGAUUCCAGUGGUCAAAUAGAACAUGCUGAGUUAAGCAAGGAUAAGUAGGAUCCUUUGUUACGAAAGUCUUCAAUAACCCAACUCAUCUUACGAAUCUUUUAAAAAGAAAAAUGGUAUUCAGAAUUUCCCACGAAAAUUUUUUGGUAAAAAUUUUCCCAAGACAAAGCAUUCCACAGUUACGCUAUUAGGAAAAGACUAGUCUAGAGAAAGAAAAACAACAUGAGGUGUGGUAACCAAAGUAGCAUGACUACGACUCGUGACUACAACCAUCUUUACUAGACAUAGGAAACAAAGUAAAAUUUGCUUGCAGUUGGUAAUGAUAAGACUUCCCCUUAUGAAUAACUCCUAGACGUAAUCAAUGGUGUUUGCUUUUCACUCACUGCUCUCUUAAGGGUUGAUAAUACAAUCAGGGUCAUUGAAGACUGGGUGACAAGUUCUGCAUCAUGUAUUCCUAUAGUGGUGGCAAUGGCCACAGUGGAAGUGAACUGCAGGCAGUAGUGGUGGGAAUAGGAGUUGGACUUCUAAACUUAAAAGUCAUACUGAAAAUAAUAUGAAUGGCAAAGAAAUGUAAAAAUGGUUGGAGGGAGUUCCUUCAUGACUAGCAGGUUAAGGAUCCAGAGCUGUCACAGCUAUGGCUCUGGUUACAGCUGUGGCAGGGGUUUGAUCCCUGGCCUGGGA